GGCUGUGUAGCACUGCAGUCAAGGGCUUGGACUUUGAAGUCCGACUCCCUGGGUUCAAAUCCCAGCUUGGCCU
rnacentral:tRNA from 1 species